AGCGAACGCUGGCGGCAGGCCUAACACAUGCAAGUCGAACGGACCCUUCGGGGUUAGUGGCGGACGGGUGAGUAACACGUGGGAACGUGCCCUUUGGUUCGGAACAACUCAGGGAAACUUGAGCUAAUACCGAAUGUGCCCUUCGGGGGAAAGAUUUAUCGCCAUUGGAGCGGCCCGCGUCUGAUUAGCUAGUUGGUGGGGUAAUGGCCCACCAAGGCGACGAUCAGUAGCUGGUCUGAGAGGAUGAUCAGCCACAUUGGGACUGAGACACGGCCCAAACUCCUACGGGAGGCAGCAGUGGGGAAUCUUGCGCAAUGGGCGAAAGCCUGACGCAGCCAUGCCGCGUGAAUGAUGAAGGUCUUAGGAUUGUAAAAUUCUUUCACCGGGGACGAUAAUGACGGUACCCGGAGAAGAAGCCCCGGCUAACUUCGUGCCAGCAGCCGCGGUAAAAC
rnacentral:rRNA from 1 species